rnacentral:lncRNA from 1 species
CAGGUUUUAGAAAAUAUUAUUUAUUGGAAUGAUGUGAUUAUGUGUGAUAGAUGGACCAUAGUCCAAAUGCAGUGAUGAUUUAGCAAGUGUGUGAAAGAUACAGCGAGAAUAUGAUAGCAAUACAGAAGAUUAGCAAAUUUCAAGGAGUCAGUUUGUGCAACUUUGCUGUAGUAUGCUUUCAGAAUAAACCUUGCUUCAAUUAGGUCUUUUGAGGGUUGUAAUGUGGUCUGGUUCAUGGUUUGUGAAACAAAGGAUAUAAGGCUAAUAUUUG